rnacentral:lncRNA from 1 species
CGGUAAAUAAUUUUACUAAUGUAAAAGCUAAAUAAAUUCAUACGUACUAUAAUACAGAUAACUGGGAUAUGAAAUUUACUUUACAGUGACUCGUGGGCCCACAAGGAACAAAAGUGCAUAAAAGCAGUAAACCUACAGUUUUUGGAGUAGUAAAGCCAACUAUAAUCCUUGACGAUAUCUGCUAUCCACAGGCUACCUCGGCCCUGAAAUGAUUGAAAAGGAGGGUGGUGAGAUUAUAAAAUCUCAGUGAGUAAAUAGAUACCAUUUAAACCAUCUAAAGUCGAGUAAAUGAGACAGAUAAAACAAUUUAACAUACUAAAAUUCAUCACCUUUCAACUUGUUUCAACUAAAUAAAAUCAAUUCAUAUAAAUCGAGUAAUUAACAUGGCUUAUGAAUUUCUUAAAACUUUGGCUCGUGCCAAAAUCAUUAUCAUACUCAGUCAUCAGGGAUACCUUAGCCGAGGGCUAUUCCAAACCAAGUCCGCCAAGGCUGUUAAAAAGUUAUGUACGCAUAAAUCAUGUUUUUAUUUUGAAAACAUAGUCGUUCCUUGGCGUUAGCCGAGUUCCCUCUCACGUGGUGGUUUGACGUGAAGUGAACUCUAAAAGUGUUAACCUCAGGAGUUAUCCACCCGCGCCUCUCAUACUGAGGUAAGAUAUAACGGGGUUUACCGUGCCCCUCUAAUAGGCUGGUCCACGGAAACCCACCCACUGCAACAAGCUAAUAAUUAUCCCACCAAUCAAUAAAAUUCAAUAACAUGAUAUGGCAAUUAUUGUAAUUCACAACCUUUCAAGGCUAAAUACACAAUUCAUAUAUUUCAACAUAAAUACCAAUUCAGUCAUUCAUGCAAAUAUUGUCAUAAGCCAUUCGAUUCAAACCAUGAAUUUACAACACAUGAAAACAGUCUCCAAUUACUCUAUUUUCCAAACCAUCAUUUCAUUUCAAGAUAAUGUUUUAAAAUCAUUUCAUUAAAUCACAUUUUAAUUACAAAACACAAAGAUUUACCAUUUAACUCAUUUUCCAUAAAAUCACAAAAUCGGAUAAAAACCACUUUAGAUAAUUAAGACGAUAGUAAGGUUACUCACAAGAUUAGGAGUUUGAUAUACUCCAAUUCUCGAUCUUCGAGCACAAUCUCUUUACCCUUAUUAGAGGGCUCACCACUUAUACAUCAUACGUGACACGAAUUUCAAUAAAUUGUGUCAAUUUAUCAUAAACUAUUUUAGGCUCUAUAAAUCUAUAUGAAUGCACGAAAUGUAAUGGAAAAUGUCCGAAUAGCCGUUUAAAUACGGUAUUCGACCUAAUUCGCACUAUUCUCGAUGUAAUUGGCUAAAACCUCCAAUUUAACUCCAAAUCGAUUUCUUUCACUUUCUACACUCCAAUUAUACUUAAAAUACCUCAAUGACUAUGAAUAUGAUUCAAUUUAUCAGUCCGAACCAUAAAUUGCACAUGUCUAUACAUUAGGUAAAAAUUCAUAUUUUCAUGCCAAAAUUUCCCAUUAAAUUUCUAGCCUCACCAAUCAUUAAAUACCACCAAAAUAUCAUAAAAUAUUAUCAAUUUCAGCCUCAAUAUCCUCCCUAGAAAAUUCUGCCUCUUGUGGGUUUGUGAAGAACAAAGUGAUUCUUAGCUAGAUUUUUAUACUUUCCAUUACCAACCAACCAAAAACACUUAAUUAGCUUGAAAUCUAGCAAAAUCAAUGCUCAAAACCUCUCCUCUCAAAUUCGGCCAGCAUGGGUUCAUCAUGCAAACUUGAGUUCUGAGCAUGGAAAAUGAAAAAGAAAGCAUGGGUAGUGUAAAUCACAAGAUAAAAUCACAAAAUUUUACCUUUAUUAGCUUAAUCUCUUGAAAUCCCAUAAUUUUUC